rnacentral:lncRNA from 1 species
AUGCGUUUUGAGUGAUUCCAAAGCCAGAUUUUAGCUAAGAUCUUGAAUAUCUUGCAUAUCAAAUUUCAGAAUCAUAUCUUAAAAACAAAGCUCAGCAUAAAUUGGGGAAAAACACGUUUCUGGCCCACAACAUUUUCCAGUGGUGCUGUUUUUUUUAUUUGGUCAUCUAAUUCUAGUGCUAUUCUUAGGAUUCUUUUGUGUGCCUACCUUUAUUUUGGUACCUUUUAUUUGCUUGCUUAAUAUUUCUUGGACCUCUUUCUAGUU